rnacentral:misc_RNA from 1 species
CAUCAGCCACCACCGUCCAUCAAGGAGCAUCUCGUUCAGAAGGGCUUGGCAGCCAAUGGUGCCAAGGAUCACUCACAGGCAGGGCGUGAGCAGAGAAAUGUGAAACCUGCACUCGGCUCAUCAACUCAGCCGAACUUCAGCCACAACGGAGCCGGCAGCACCUGCACGUUGCGGAGCGCCUACGCGACUACUGGGUAGGCGUGUGCGCGUGUCUUCUGUGGAGACGCACAGGUGCAACGACGCGCCAGAAGGAAGGAUUGCACAAGCGGACCCCUUGCUGGUUCGUUUCUGUUCUCCUCCACCAUUCCACACACACACGCACACGCACACAGACCUCACUCUGCUUUCUUUCUCUUGUUGUGCGACUCGAUGAAGAAAGAAGGCCAAAGAAUGAGCGGAAUGUGAUGCACGUUGCUGGUGCACACAGCUGGCCGCAGACGCUCUUCCUUCCACCCGAAUCAGGGAGGGCAUGUUUGACGACGCCUCCGCUACGCUCGCGAGUUGCCUUUAUCCGUUACGCAGACGUGCGGCCAGGACCAGGCCUCGCCCAUUCCCCCUGUUGUCGUACGUAUCCGUGUUGAUGCAUCAGUCAUGUAUUUGGGUUGGGUUCGCCUUUGUGCGUGUGUGUGCGUGCGUCGCACAUUAUUGACGGUCCUCGCAGCAUCGGGGCAAGCAAGAAGGCUGGAAGAAGCAACCUGGCGGGCCGCCUUUGCGCUGCCCUACGUCAGCUGCAUAGCCGGUUGCUGUGAGGUCCGUAAAAGAUGACGGUGCCUCGGGGGUGGGUGUAGCGGGACAUGGCCCGGUACCGGCCUAGAAUCCAUGCAGUGGCCCUUCCUCCAUAGCUGCACGUGAAGCCGCCCAUCCUGCGGCGAAAGCUGAAGAGAAAAAGAAUAUUCAGGUGGUGGUGGGGGGAGGGGGGUUGCCCCCCGCCCAGGCCGCGUUGCGGCAAUCGCGAGUCGUCUUCGCCGCUCUCCAGCCAUGCGUUGGAGCCGCCGUGGUCGUCAGAGCGUCAUCCUGCUCCUCCGUUAGGAUCAUCUGCUGAGCUGCGAACGCGCGCCUUCUAGCCGCGAAGGUCGAUGUUUAUCGUUCGCUCUAACUCCAACGCGCUUCACGAGAGCGCCUGUGGUUUUCAUAUAAAUUUUCGUGUGGAAAGUCGCUGUGCACCUUAGUAUUUCGCUUCUUUGCAUUUUGCGCUCCCUGAUGACGAGGGGUGGGGUGGAGGGUGCACCCCUCAGUGCGUCGUGUCGCAGGGCCCAGCACGCACCCCACUCUGUGUGUGUGUGUGUGUGUGUGGCUGUGGGGAAGCGAGCCAGCCCCCCAACCCCUAUACCCCUGCCAAGUGCCCCAGCCACCUCGGGUGGUGGCGGGGCCCAGCACCGACGACGUAGGGGAGGUCAGAGCGAUGUAUCGCUGCUGAUGUCGCUGCCGAGGUUGUGGAGGGCGUGGCGUCGGAGCGGCCAGCGUGGCUCGAACACAUCUCCCCCCUCUCCCUCCUCCUCCGGGCCCCUCACUCUGCCCAGCGGUGCAGGGAGCCUGCGCCACUCUCAAGGAGGGUGCGGCUGUGUAGCGCUUGGGACGGAGGCCGUACCCAGGUGACUGUGUUGGCGCAGUGCUGUACCGCGUAUGCCUACCGCUGCCUCGCGCCAGGCCAUAUGGGCCGGUGUGACGGGGCCGGCUGGAGGGGAGUGGAGUGGCGUGCAGCUCGCGUUGCACGGGCAGAGCAAGGGGCACACGCUGAAACAAAAGAAGGAGUGACUUGUUCACCUCAUUAUGUUGUACAAGCAACGAUGCCGACUGCCACGGCCCUCGCUGUGCUGCGAGGGUUUCCCUUCGGGUGUGGGGGAGCGGGAAACGAAAGGGGGAAACGAAAAAGAAGCAAAAGGCUCUAUGGACGGUGGAUCAGGACCUGAGGGACUGCAUCGCUGCGAGAGCCAAGUUUGAUGCGCACGCAGAGACAGAGAUGAGGUGCUGCAUCACCGUCGACGCCACAGCGAAGAGACGGGAAGCAUGCCACGGCCAGCGUGCGGGCGCAUGUGGUGCCGCUGCUGUGUGUGUGUGUGCCGGCGAGAGCGCGUGGUAGGUCUUCUAUAAUCACCACAUCUUCUGCUAAAGGUCAUUUGUGCUACCAUCAGCAGAGCUGAGCCACGUGUAAAUGGCGAGUCCAGCGUCUGCCCGCGCUCGCGUUGCCGCUGUGUUUCUCUGUGGGCGAGGGCUUCUCGUUGUUGCAUAACAUCUCCCUCUCCUUCCAUUUUUUUCUUCAUCGCUGACUGCAG